UACAGAGGGUGCGAGCGUUAAUCGGAAUUACUGGGCGUAAAGCGUGCGUAGACGGUUGCGUAAGUCAGAUGUGAAAGCCCCGGGCUCAACCUGGGAAUUGCAUUUGAGACUGCGUAGCUAGGGUGCGGAAGAGGGAAGCGGAAUUUCCGGUGUAGCGGUGAAAUGCGUAGAUAUCGGAAGGAGCACCAGUGGCGAAAGCGGCUUCCUGGUCCAGCACCGACGUUCAGGCACGAAAGCGUGGGGAGCAAACAGG
rnacentral:rRNA from 1 species